rnacentral:rRNA from 1 species
UACGUAGGGUGCAAGCGUUAUCCGGAAUUAUUGGGCGUAAAGAGCUCGUAGGCGGUUUGUCGCGUCUGCUGUGAAAACUGGGGGCUCAACCCCCAGCCUGCAGUGGGUACGGGCAGACUAGAGUGCGGUAGGGGAGAUUGGAAUUCCUGGUGUAGCGGUGGAAUGCGCAGAUAUCAGGAGGAACACCAAUGGCGAAGGCGGUUCUCUGGGCCUGUACUGACGCUGAGGUGCGAAAGCGUGGGGAGCAAACAGG